rnacentral:rRNA from 1 species
AGUGGCGCACGGGUGAGUAACGCGUAGGUCAUCUGCCCUUAGGUCAGGGAUAGCCCUUCGAAAGUUGGAUUAAUACCUGAUAAUAUGGCGACAUCAAAGGAUUUAUUCGCCUAAGGAUGAGCCUGCGUUAGAUUAGCUUGUUGGUGAGGUAACGGCUCACCAAGGCGACGAUCUAUAGCCGAGUUGAGAGGCUGAUCGGCCACAUUGGAACUGAGACACGGUCCAGACUCCUACGGGAGGCAGCAGCUAAGAAUCUUCCGCAAUGGGCGCAAGCCUGACGGAGCGACGCCGCGUGAACGAUGAAGGCCUUUCGGGUUGUAAAGUUCUUUUAUAAGAGACGAAUGUCUGGUGUAGGCCAGACUGACUGUAUCUUUUGAAUAAGGUCCGGCUAACUACGUGCCAGCAGCCGCGGUAAUACGUAGGGACCAAGCGUUGUUCGGAAUUAUUGGGCGUAAAGGGUACGUAGGCGGCAUGAUAAGUCAGAUGUGAAACCCUCGGGCUCAACCUGAGGCCUGCGUCUGAUACUGUUGUGCUAGAGUUACUGAGAGGAAGACGGAAUUCCUGGCGUAGGGGUGAAAUCUAUAGAUAUCAGGAAGAACACCUAUUGCGAAGGCAGUCUUCUGGCAGCUAACUGACGCUGAUGUACGAAAGUUAGGGUAGCAAACAGGAUUAGAGACCCUGGUAGUCCUAACCGUAAACGUUGUAUACUAGGUGGUUGAAGUAUUGAUCCUUUGACUGCCGGAGCUAACGCAUUAAGUAUACCGCCUGGGGAGUAUGCCGGCAACGGUGAAACUCAAAGGAAUUGACGGGGGCCCGCACAAGCAGUGGAGCAUGUUGUUUAAUUCGAAAAUACGCGAGAAACCUUACCAGGUCUUGACGUAUACCUGAAUGGUGUGGAAAC